GGGGGCGACAAGGUUUCGACGGGGAUGUACGGGAGGUAGGUUGCACGCCGCGGCCCCGCCACCGCGCGACAAGCGGGAAAAACACAACAGCCGAUUCACACUUGGCUUACGCUGUUUAGCAGCGGCCCGGCCGAUUGGUAAGCGUGCCCGUCGCGUACACGGUCGGGUUCGGAAAAGCGGGCUGGGGUUCACGUCGUUCCCGCCGGCGCGGGCCGAGACAUCAGCGGGAUAGCGACGCCCAUUCCCGGUCGGGGGUUCCGGCGAAGCGAACGUUAAACCCGGCAUAAGCGUGUAGAAACCUGCCGGCCCGCAUCUUCGGACGCGGGUUCGAUUCCCGCCGCCUCCAA
rnacentral:tmRNA from 1 species